rnacentral:rRNA from 1 species
AUUGAACGCUGUCGGCAGGCUUAACACAUGCAAGUCGAGCGAGCGGCGGCCGGGUGAGUAAUGUCUGGGAAACUGCCUGUUGGAUGGGGAUAACUACUGGAAACGGUAGCUAAUACCGCAUUCCAUCAUUUGUGCCCAUAUGGGAUUGGCUAGUAGGUGGGGUAAUGGCUCACCUAGGCGACGAUCCCUAGCUGGUCUGUGAGGAUGACCGUCAAAACUGGAACAGGGAAACGGUCCAGAGCCCUACGGGAGGCAGCAGUGGGAAGUAUUGCACAAGGGGGGCAAGCCUGCUACAGCCAUGGCGCGUGUGUGUAGAAGGCAUUCGAGUUGUAAAGCACUUUCGGCGGGGAGACGUUACUCACAGAAGAAGCACCGGCUAACUCCGUGCCAGCCGCCGCGGUAAUAC